rnacentral:rRNA from 1 species
GACGAACGCUGGCGGCGUGCCUAAUACAUGCAAGUCGAGCGAAGUUUUUCUGGUGCUUGCACUAGAAAAACUUAGCGGCGAACGGGUGAGUAACACGUAAAGAACCUGCCUCAUAGACUGGGACAACUAUUGGAAACGAUAGCUAAUACCGGAUAACAGCAUUAACUGCAUGGUUGAUGUUUAAAAGUUGGUUAUGCUAACACUAUGAGAUGGCUUUGCGGUGCAUUAGCUAGUUGGUGGGGUAAAGGCCUACCAAGGCGACGAUGCAUAGCCGACCUGAGAGGGUGAUCGGCCACACUGGGACUGAGACACGGCCCAGACUCCUACGGGAGGCAGUAUUAGGGAAUCUUCCGCAAUGGGCGAAAGCCUGACGGACCAACGCCGCGUGAGUGAAGAAGGAUUUCGGUUCGAAAAGCUCUGUUGUUAGGCAAGAAUGAUUGUGUAAUAACUAUACACAGUUCAGACGGGACCUAACCAGACAGCCACGGAUAAAUACGUGGCAGUUCCCGCGGGAAUAUGUAGCUGGCACUCGCCUGUUGGAUUAGUGCGCCUAAAGGACACCCGAUGUGGUUUAAUCCCUCCGAUAUGAAAGCCACCCCUCUCAAACUUGGAGUGGUUAUUGGAAACUGCCAACUUUGAGCGGAAGACGCACCAUUGGAAUGGGCGCGGUAUUUUCCCGGAUAUGUACAGAUCCGCGCCUAACCUUUUACGGAGGGGGCCUAUAACUCUUGCUGAAUUGACGUGUUUUAUG